UCCCGGCUAGCUCAUCUUGGUAGAGCAUAAGACUCUUAAUCUUAGGGCGGAGGGAUCGAGGCCCUCGUUGGGAG
rfam:Pseudocohnilembus persalinus scaffold2119, whole genome shotgun sequence.